rnacentral:rRNA from 1 species
GACGAACCGUCCUAACGUUAUUCGGAAUCACUGGGCUUAAAGGGCGCGUAGGCGGAUGAGCAAGUCCGGAGUGAAAUCUUUCGGCUUAACCGGAAAAGUGCUUUGGAUACUGCUUGGCUUGAGGGAGGUAGGGGCAUGUGGAACUUCUGGUGGAGCGGUGAAAUGCGUUGAUAUCAGAAGGAACGCCGGUGGCGAAAGCGACGUGCUGGCCCUCUUCUGACGCUGAGGCGCGAAAGCUAGGGGAGCAAACGGG